AAGAUGAUAAUAUAUAUCACUGUCUCUAAUUAAUUUAUUAAUUUGUAUUUAUUUAUAUUAAUUAAUUAAAAAGCUCAUACUCACCUUUUUUGUCCGAGCAUCCACAACUUGAACAGCAGCUCAGGAGGUGGUGGAUGCAAGUAAGAGGAAAAAACGAAAAGUAAUGGUUAAUAAAACAGUCAAAUAAUGUUAAGUGAUAUGAAUGAAUAUGAUAUGAAUAAAUGGGUCACAAGUUAGAAUCUCAUACUCACUUUCUUCGUCCGGAGUAAACAGUAGCAGCUCAGGUGGUGCAGUAAGAUAAGGGGAGAGAGAGACAAGAAAAUAGUGAGUAUAAUAAUUCAUUUUUGAAUUUUUGACUGUGUAAUACUUUAUGGACAACACACAAUAACAUACAAUAACAUUACUUUCUCUGUCUCUAUAUUAAAGACUAUUCUAAGUCACUUUCUUCACGUCAGACACUUGUACUUACCUUCUUCGGCCAUAUGAAGUGAAUGGCCGUAGUUUAGUUUGAAUCCAGGAAUGGUGGGUUGAUCUCCAGGACUUUCUUUUUGUAUUAAAUGCCACUGACCUCUAGCAGGCCAGUGUGCAACUGAUUAAUGUACACCUCUGUUUGUUUUCUAGCUGUUUUUGCAGCUUUUCUCCAAUUUUUUUUCCCAAUUUCAGAGGCUGUAGGUGGAGGUUUGGUGGCAGCUGUCUGCCAGAAUCUGCAGGUGGAGGCGGCAGCUGCAGGUUGCUGGCAGAGGCUGUAGGUGGAGCUACAGUGGUCUUGCAGAAUCUUCAGAUGGAGGCGGAGGUGCAGGUUUAUGGCUGUACGUGGAGGUUCAGACUGCAGCUGUCUGCCAGAAUCUGCAGAUGGAGG